GACGAACGCUGGCGGCGCGCUUAACACAUGCAAGUCGAACGGAAAGGCCUGCUUUCCCUUGUGGAUUGCGGGUACUCGAGUGGCGAACGGGUGAGUAACACGUGAGUGAUCUGCCCCCAACUUGGGUAUAAGCCUGGGAAACUGGGUCUAAUUCCCGAUAGGACUGCAGGGUGGUGCCUGUGGUGGAAAACGAUUUUCUAGUGGUUGGGGAUGAGCUCGCGGCCUACCAGCUUGUUGGUGGGGUAAUGGCCUACCAAGGCGGCGACGGGUAGCCGGCCUGAGAGGGUGGACGGCCACAUUGGGACUGAGAUACGGCCCAGACUCCGACGGGAGGCAGCAGUGGGGAAUAUUGCACAAUGGGCGGAAGCCUGAUGCAGCGACGCCGCGUGGGGGAUGACGGCCUUCGGGUUGUAAACUCCUUUCGACCGCGAGGAAGCCACCUGGUUGGAAGGGUGGUGACGGUAGUGGUAGAAGAAGCACCGGCUAACUACGUG
rnacentral:rRNA from 1 species